rnacentral:rRNA from 1 species
AUUGAACGCUAGCGGGAUGCCUUACACAUGCAAGUCGAACGGAGUGGCGAACGGGUGAGUAAUGUAUCGGAACGUGCCCAUUCGCGGGGGAUAACUACGCGAAAGCGUAGCUAAUACCGCAUACUAUUGGAGCGGCCUGUAUCGGAUUAGCUAGUUGGUGGGGUAACGGCUCACCAAGGCGACGAUCCGUAGCUGGUUUGAGAGGAAGACCAGCCCAACUGGGACUGAGACACGGCCCAGACUCCUACGGGAGGCAGCAGUGGGGAAUUUUGGACAAUGGGGGAAAGCCGGAUCCAGCCAUCCCGCGUGUGGGAAGAAGGCCUUCGGGUUGUAAAGCACUUUUGGCAGGAAAGCGGUACCUGCAGAAUAAGCACCGGCUAACUACGUGCCAGCAGCCGCGGUAAUAC